UACGAAGGGGGCUAGCGUUGCUCGGAAUCACUGGGCGUAAAGCGCACGUAGGCGGACUCUUAAGUCGGGGGUGAAAUCCUGGAGCUCAACUCCAGAACUGCCUUCGAUACUGGGAGUCUUGAGUUCGGGAGAGGUGAGUGGAACUGCGAGUGUAGAGGUGAAAUUCGUAGAUAUUCGCAAGAACACCAGUGGCGAAGGCGAGUCCCUGGACAGGUCCUGACGCUGAGGCACGAAAGCUAGGGGAGCAAACAGG
rnacentral:rRNA from 1 species